GACGAACCGUGCGAACGUUGUUCGGAAUCACUGGGCUUAAAGGGCGCGUAGGCGGGCUGUCAAGUCUGGGGUGAAAUGCCGCGGCUCAACCGUGGAACUGCCUUAGAUACUGACGGCCUCGAGGAAGGUAGGGGCAUGCGGAACUGUAGGUGGAGCGGUGAAAUGCGUUGAUAUCGUCAAGAACACCUAUAGCGAAGGCAGCUUACUAGGCUGUAACUGACGCUGAGGCACGAAAGUGUGGGGAGCGAACAGG
rnacentral:rRNA from 1 species